GGCCCUUUGUACUGUCGCGUGAAAGUACUCUGCUCAUAACAGAUGUAAGGUGGGUUAGACUCCCACAAGGGCCACCA
rnacentral:tRNA from 1 species